AUGAAGUGUUCUCCGGGCUAUGUGACUGUGGUACUCUUAAUGCUUGGACAAACCCGUGGAGACUCAGUGACUCAGACGGAAGACCAAGUGACCCUCUCAGAAAAUGCUUUCCUGACUAUGAAUUGUACUUAUUCAGCUUCACGGUACCCUGCCCUUUUCUGGUAUGUCCAGUAUCCAGGAGAAGGUCUAGAGCUCCUCCUGAACGCCUUGAAGGACAAGGAGAAAGGAAGCAACAAAGGAUUUGAAGCCACCUACGACCGCAAAUUGAAAUCCUUUCACUUGGAUAAACACUCAUGA